GCCGAGAUGGUGGAAUUGGUAGACACGCAGUCUUGAGGGGGCUGUGCUAGCAAUAGUGUGAGGGUUCGAGUCCCUCUCUCGGCA
rnacentral:tRNA from 1 species